rnacentral:rRNA from 1 species
UAUCUCUGUAGAGUCUGCAUAUCAAUAAGCGGAGGAAAAGAAACUAACUAGGAUUCCCUAGUAACGGCGAGUGAAGCGGGAAGAGCUCAAAUUUGAAAUCUUCAAGGUUCUACCUUGACGAAUUGUAGUUUAAAGAAGUGUUUUCUGUUAGAUGAGUAGCAAAAGUUCCUUGGAAUGGGACAUCAUAGAGGGUGAGAAUCCCGUAUUUGGUUAUUCAUUCUAGCUUUGUGAUACACUUUCAAAGAGUCGGAUUGUUUGGGAAUGCAGUCCAAAAUGGGUGGUAAAUUUCAUCUAAAGCUAAAUAUUGGCGAGAGACCGAUAGCGAACAAGUACCGUGAGGGAAAGAUGAAAAGAACUUUGAAAAGAGAGUUAAACGGUACGUGAAAUUGUCAAAAGGGAAGCGUUUGACACCAGUGUUGUUUUUUCCGAAAAUCAAUUACGAAUGGCUUGAUUCUGUGUUGUAUUGACCUUAUCAGCUUUCUUCACUUUUUUCGAGUCUUUCUUAAUGCACUUUUCGGUUAACAAGUCAACAUCAAUUUCUUUUGUUGUAAAAGAGUAUUCGGAAGGUGGCUUUCUUUUCGGAGAAAGUGUUUAUAGCCUUUGGCCUCUGCAAUCGGAGAGAUUGAGGUCUGCAGCGUAGAUCCUUCGGGGUUAGAUACAUUUGUGCUAAGUUAUAGCCUUUCAUAGACAACUUGUUGACUAUGAUCAGUCAUGUAGCUUACUCGCUUAUGCUAUUUUACCUACGCUUAGGAUGUUGAAGAUGUAGCACAUCAU